UGAGGAAUAUUGGUCAAUGGGCGCAAGCCUGAACCAGCCAAGUAGCGUGCAGGAAGACGGCCCUAUGGGUUGUAAACUGCUUUUAUACGAGAAUAAUUUGAUGCACGUGUGCGUUAUUGCAUGUAUCGUAUGAAUAAGGACCGGCUAAUUCCGUGCCAGCAGCCGCGGUAAUACGGAAGGUCCAGGCGUUAUCCGGAUUUAUUGGGUUUAAAGGGAGUGUAGGCGGUUUGUUAAGCGUGUUGUGAAAUUUAGGUGCUCAACAUUUAACUUGCAGCGCGAACUGUCAGACUUGAGUACACGCAACGUAUGCGGAAUUCAUGGUGUAGCGGUGAAAUGCUUAGAUAUCAUGAAGAACUCCGAUUGCGAAGGCAGCAUACGGGAGUGUAACUGACGCUUAAGCUCGAAGGUGCGGGUAUCGAACAGGAUUAGAUACCCUGGUAGUCCGCACAGUAAACGAUGGAUGCCCGCUGUUAGCGCCUGGCGUUAGCGGCUAAGCGAAAGCAUUAAGCAUCCCACCUGGGGAGUACGCCGGCCGGU
rnacentral:rRNA from 1 species